rnacentral:rRNA from 1 species
GACGAACGCUGGCGGUGUGCUUAACACAUGCAAGUCGAACGGUAAGGCCCUUUCGGGGGUCCACGAGUGGCGAACGGGUGAGUAACACGUGAGUAACCUGCCCUCAUCUCUGGGAUAACAGUCGGAAACGGUUGCUAAUACUGGAUAUGAGCUUGCAAGGCAUCUUGUGGGUUGGAAAGAUUUUUUUGGUUGGGGAUGGACUCGCGGCCUAUCAGCUUGUUGGUGAGGUAGUGGCUCACCAAGGCUUCGACGGGUAGCCGGCCUGAGAGGGCGACCGGCCACAUUGGGACUGAGAUACGGCCCAAACGCCUACGGGAGGCAGCAGGGGGGAAUAUUGCACAAUGGACGGAAGUCUGAUGCAGCAACGCCGCGUGCGGGAUGACGGCCUUCGGGUUGUAAACCGCUUUCAAUUGUGACGAAGCUUUUUGUGACGGUAGCAGUAGAAGAAGCACCGGCUAACUACGUG